rnacentral:rRNA from 1 species
UUGGAGGGCAAGUCUGGUGCCAGCAGCCGCGGUAAUUCCAGCUCCAAUAGCGUAUAUUAAAGUUGUUGCAGUUAAAAAGCUCGUAGUUGAAUUUCGGGAUUAGUACGUUGGUCGUGCCUUCGGUACGUACUGGUGUUACUGAUUCCUACCUUCUGACGAACCAUCAUGUCAUUAAUUUGGUGUGGCGGGGAAUCAGGACUGUUACUUUGAAAAAAUUAGAGUGUUUAAAGCAGGCUCGCGCUUGAAUACAUUAGCAUGGAAUAAUGAAAUAGGACGUUGACCCUAUUUUGUUGGUUUCUAGGAUUGACGUAAUGAUUAAUAGGGAUAGUUGGGGGCAUUAGUAUUCAAUUGUCAGAGGUGAAAUUCUUGGAUUUAUUGAAGACUAACUACUGCGAAAGCAUUUGCCAGGGAUGUUUUCAUUAAUCAAGAACGAAAGUUAGGGGAUCGAAGACGAUCAGAUACCGUCGUAGUCUUAACCAUAAACUAUGCCGACUAGGGAUCGGAUGAUGUUAUUUUUAAUGACUCAUUCGGCGCCUUACGGGAAAC